GCUAUGUUCGCGAUGCCGACGCUGCUCGCAUAAUCGCCGCUUCUCUCAGCAAAAAUCGGCUACUUUGCGCACCACCCCACUCGCAAUACGGAAACAAUCUCGGCGAUCGCGCGCAGUUGGCGGGGGCUCGAGAGUGCGUCAGAAUCUUAGCUGCCGUGCAAAUGUCUCGUUCGUUUGUUUCCGCGUGGCUUGGGUCUUCAUAUGCGAGCCUAUAAUAUCCGGAAAUUUCACUGCGCUGAAUUUGAUGCCUAACCACGGCAGGCCCUUACAAGGCCUGCCGUGUGUUGGAGGGUCACCAUCAUGGAACUCGGUGCACUGUAUAUACGGGUUCAAUAAUACAGGCUUUGUCAUGUGGGAGUGUCAGCCGUUUCGUCGUGUCGUGGACUCGGAGAAAACAACGACGUUGUGUGGUAGUCGAACUUAUGGAAUGUCAUGGCCGCUCUUCAGGGAUCACUGCUACCGGACAAGCCACGUGGACAACCAUAAACGGCUAACAAGUCCCCCGCUGAAGCUGUCAAAACUCAAUUGACGUCACGGCGCGCGCGGCGUGCCCUGCACCACCGAUACCGACGGCCUUCACCUCCGGUUUGCAACAACAGCAGCAGCAGCAUAGAAAAGUGCGCGCCAGGCACCAAACCCGUCAUCUCUGGGUGAAAAAAACACGGUUUCUUGUAACGACCGGCUUCACCGUUGGAAAGAAGAGCACAACCGCGGACCAACGGGUCAACCGUCGGAUGUACGUACAUCUGGCGCCGGCGACGGCCGCCGCAUAAGCGGCUCCAUGCUGUCACAACUUUACCAUCGCCUA